rnacentral:rRNA from 1 species
GAUUAACGCUGGCGGUAUGUCUAAUACAUGCAAGUCGAGCGAGGCUUCGAGCCGAGCGGCGAACGGCUGAGUAACACGUUGGAACCUGCCCGAACUCAGGGAUAACAUUAAGAAUUAAUGCUAAUACCGGAUAGUCCCGCAAGGGUAAAGUUUUCGGUUCGGGAGGGUCCUGCGGCCUAUCAGCUUGUUGGUGAGGUAACGGCUCACCAAGGCUAUGACGGGUAGCUGGUCUGAGAGGAUGAUCAGCCAGAAUGGGACUGAGACACGGCCCAUACUCCUACGGGAGGCAGCAGUAAAGAAUCUUCCACAAUGGGGAAACCCUGAUGGAGCAAUACCGCGUGAAGGAUGAAGGUCUAACGAUUGUAAACUUCUUUUCUGAGGGAAGAAUUCUGACGGUACCUCAGGAAUAAGCACCGGCUAACUCCGUGCCAGCAGCCGCGGUAAU